rnacentral:rRNA from 1 species
UACGGGGGGAGCAAGCGUUGUUCGGAUUUACUGGGCGUAAAGGGCGCGUAGGCGGCCAGCACAAGUCAGUUGUGAAAUCUCCGGGCUUAACUCGGAAAGGUCAACUGAUACUGUGCGGCUAGAGUGCAGAAGGGGCAACUGGAAUUCUCGGUGUAGCGGUGAAAUGCGUAGAUAUCGAGAGGAACACCUGCGGCGAAGGCGGGUUGCUGGGCUGACACUGACGCUGAGACGCGAAAGCGUGGGGAGCGAACAGG